rnacentral:rRNA from 1 species
UACGGGGGGGGCAAGCGUUGUUCGGAAUUACUGGGCGUAAAGGGUCUGUAGGUGGCCAACUAAGUCAGACGUGAAAUCCCUCAGCUUAACUGGGGAACUGCGUCUGAUACUGGUUGGCUUGAGUGCAGGAGAGGAAUGCGGAAUUCCUGGUGUAGCGGUGAAAUGCGUAGAUAUCAGGAGGAACACCGGUGGUGUAGACGGCUUUCUGGACCGUAACUGACGCUGAGGCACGAAAGCUAGGGUAGCGAACGGG